AAUAUGACAAAAUUGUUUUAAUUAGAUUAAAAUGCAUGCUUAUAUGUGAUGAGACUAAACCCUCAAACCAUUAUUAAGUGAUAAGCGUGAGAGUGCUUUGAACAUUCUUUCGUGGCCUUCCACCGUGGUAGGCUCCGAUCGUUUGUGACUCGUACACCGACUUCACCCUAUCAUGAGGGAGUACAAAGUGCGUGCUUACACUCAGGAGGAGUUCUAUAUGCAUACAUGAUGUUGUGAAGGUAGGCAACG
rnacentral:lncRNA from 1 species